UUAAGUGAACAAGGGCAUACGGCGGAUGCCUUGGCGCCAAGAGCCGAUGAAGGACGCGGUAAGCUGCGAAAAGGCAUGGGUAGGAGCAAGCAUCCAGUGAUCCAUGCAUAUCCGAAUGGGGCAACCCACCAUCAGUCAUGUGAUGGUACGAAAGAGGCAGACCUGGGGAACUGAAACAUCUAAGUACCCAGAGGAAAAGUAAUCAAUUGAGAUUCCCUAAGUAGCGGCGAGCGAACGGGGAAGAGCCCAAACCAUGAAACUUCGGUUUUGUGGGGUUGAGGACCGGCAAAAAGAGGAAACUUCUUAGUCGAAUGGUUUGGAAAGGCCAUGCACAGAAGGUAAAACACCUGUAGGCGAAAAGAAGUCAAUCGGGCUGGUAUCCAGAGUACUGCGAGACACGUGAAACCUUGCAGGAAGCAGGGGGGACCACCCUCCAAGGCAAAAUACUACUUGGCGACCGAUAGCGCAUAGUACCGUGAGGGAAAGGUGAAAAGAACCCCGGGAGGGGAGUGAAAUAGAACCUGAAACCGUAUGUCUACAAGCAGUCGAAGCACCUUAAGAGUGCGACGGCGUGCCUAUUGAAGAAUGAACCGGCGAGUUACAUUAUGUUGCGAGGUUAAGUGGGAGACACGGAGCCGAAGCGAAAGCGAGUCUUAAUAGGGCGACUAGUAACAUGGUGUAGACCCGAAACCGCAGUGAUCUAUCCAUGGUCAGGUUGAAGCGCAGGUAAAAAUGCGUGGAGGACCGAACCCGUGAGUGUUGAAAAACUUUGGGAUGAACCGUGGAUAGGGGUGAAAUGCCAAUCGAACGCGGAGAUAGCUGGUUCUCCCCGAAAUAGCUUUAGGGCUAGCCUCAGGGAAGAUUAUAGACGGUAGAGCACUGAUCUGGCAAGGGGGCGUAAAGCCUACCGACCCUAGUCAAACUUCGAAUGGCUAUAAUUAAGACCCUGGGAGUCAGACUGCGAGUGAUAAGACCCGUAGUCAAGAGGGAAACAGCCCAGACCGCCGACUAAGGUCCCCAAUGCUGUACUAAGUGGAAAAGGAUGUAAGACUUCAUAAACAACCAGGAUGUUGGCUUAGAAGCAGCCACCAUUAAAAGAGUGCGUAAUAGCUCACUGGUCGAGAGGCCUUGCGCCGAAGAUGUCCGGGGCUCAAGUACAGAACCGAAGUCGCGGCAGGAUUAUAUAAUUCUGGGUAGGGGAGCGUUGUAUAUCCGACUGAAGGUGUACCGGAAGGAGCGCUGGAGGAUAUACAAGAGAGAAUGCCGGUAUGAGUAGCGAAAAGAACAGUGAGAAUCUGUUCCACCGAAAGCCUAAGGUUUCCUGAGCAACGCUCGUCGACUCAGGGUAAGUCGGGACCUAAGCCGAGGCAAAAAGCAUAGGCGAUGGACAACAGGUUAAUAUUCCUGUACCGCUUCAAAUCGUUUGAGCAAUGGAGUGACACAGAAGGUAGCUUGAGCACGCGAAUGGAUGUGCGUGUCGAAGGUGGUAGGUUGCAGUAUAGGUAAAUCCGUACUGUAUAAGACCGAGAACUGAUAGAUAGACGAUACUUCGGUAAAGUCAAAUUCAAGUGAGCCAUGCUGUCGAGAAAAGCUUCUAGUGAGAGAUGAGGCGCCCGUACCGAAACCGACACAGGUAGGCGGGGAGAGAAUCCUAAGGUGCGCGGGACAACCCUCGUUAAGGAACUCGGCAAAUUGUAUCCGUAACUUAGGGAUAAGGAUAGCCGGAGGAUGUGAAGGGAUUUACUUCUGGAGCGUCAGCCGGUGGCACAAGAGAGGCCCAAGCGACUGUUUAGCACAAACACAGGUGCCUGCAAAAGAGAAAUCUGACGUAUAGGUGCUGACACCUGCCCGGUGCUGGAAGGUUAAGAGGAGGGCUUAGAGGCAACUCGAAGGCUUGAAUUGAAGCCCCAGUAAACGGCGGCCGUAACUAUAACGGUCCUAAGGUAGCGAAAUUCCUUGUCGGGUAAGUUC
rnacentral:rRNA from 1 species